UUUCCGUAGGUGAACCUGUGGAAGGAUCAUUAAUGUUAUAGUAACCACCUGGUUGAAACACAUCAGGAGGCAUACCUAUACCACCCUUUGUUUAUCACACCUUUGUUGCUUUGGCAGGCCCGUCUUCGGACUGCUGGCUCCGGCCGGCGAGCGCCUGCCAGAGGACCUAAACUCUGUUUGUCUAUAAUGUCUGAGUACUAUAUAAUAGUUAAAACUUUCAACAACGGAUCUCUUGGUUCUG
rnacentral:misc_RNA from 1 species